rnacentral:rRNA from 1 species
UGGGGAAUAUUGCGCAAUGGGCGAAAGCCUGACGCAGCGACGCCGCGUGAGGGAUGAAGGUUUUCGGAUCGUAAACCUCUGUCAGAAGGGAAGAAACCGCACUGUGCUAAUCAGCAGUGCCUUGACGGUACCUUCAAAGGAAGCACCGGCUAACUCCGUGCCAGCAGCCGCGGUAAUACGGAGGGUGCAAGCGUUAAUCGGAAUUACUGGGCGUAAAGCGCACGUAGGCUGCUUUGUAAGUCAGGGGUGAAAUCCCACGGCUCAACCGUGGAACUGCCUUUGAUACUGCUUAGCUUGAAUCCGGGAGUGGGUGGCGGAAUUCCAGGUGUAGGAGUGAAAUCCGUAGAUAUCUGGAGGAACAUCAGUGGCGAAGGCGGCCACCUGGACCGGUAUUGACGCUGAGGUGCGAAAGCGUGGGGAGCAAACAGG